rnacentral:rRNA from 1 species
UAAAGCUACUAAGGGCAUACGGUGAAUGCCUUGGUACAUGGAGGCGAUGAAGGACGUGGUAAGCUGCGAUAAGCCUCGGUGAGGUGCAAACAACCUUAGAUCCGAGGAUUUCCGAAUGGGGCAACCCAUCCCGGGUAAUACCGGGAUACACCCAUCUGAAUACAUAGGAUGGGAUGAGUCAACGGGGUGAAUUGACACAUCUUAGUAACCCCAGGAAAAGAAAACAAAAGUGAUUUCCUAAGUAGCGGCGAGCGAACGGGAAAGAGCCCAAACCAUAAUCGUGUUAAAGCCCGCAGGCGUUGCGGUUAUGGGGUUGUGAGGUAGUAUCUGAGUUGGUUGCGGACGACUCGGGGAGUCAAAAAAUCUGCGAUUAGCCAAACGGAAUGGAAAGUCCGACCAUAGAAGGUGAUAGUCCUGUAGGCGAAAAUCAAUGAUCUUCCUGGAUACUAUUCUCAAGUAACACGGUACACGUGAAAUUCCGUGUGAAACUGCCAGGACCAUCUGGUAAGGCUAAAUACUCCCAUGUGACCGAUAGUGAACUAGUACCGUGAGGGAAAGGUGAAAAGUACUCCUAACGGAGAGUGAAAUAGAACCUGAAACUGUAUGCCUACAAGCGGUCGGAGUCCCGAUUUAUCGGGAUGACGGCGUGCCUUUUGCAUAAUGAGCCAGCGAGUUGCUCGUAUGUCGCAAGGUUAAGGUCUUAAAACCGGAGCCGUAGCGAAAGCAAGUCUGAAUAGGGCGAUUAAGUGACAUGCGGCAGACCCGAAGCCGAGUGAUCUAGCCAUGGCCAGGUUGAAGCGACAGUAACAUGUCGUGGAGGACCGAACCCACCAGGGUUGAAAACCUGGGGGAUGAGCUGUGGUUAGGGGUGAAAGGCCAAUCAAACUCGGCGAUAUCUGGUUCUCCCCGAAAUGCCUUUAGGGGCAGCGUUACGGUAGUAUCUUGGGGGUAGAGCACUGGAUGGACUAGGGGCCCUACAAGGUUACCAAACCCAACCAAACUCCGAAUACCAAGAUUAUGAUCCGUGGCAGUGAGGCCGUGGGGGAUAAGCUUCAUGGCCGAAAGGGAAACAACCCAGACCAACAGCUAAGGUCCCCAAAUCCGGGUUAAGUGACAAAGGAUGUGGGAUUGCUUAAACAGCUAGGAGGUUGGCUUAGAGGCAGCCAUCCUUUAAAGAAAGCGUAACAGCUCACUAGUCAAGGAAUCCUGCGCCGAUAAUCUCCGGGACUGAUAAACCCGGUACCGAAGCUAUGGUCUUUCCGAUUUAUCGGGAAGAGGUAGGGGAGCGUUCCAUUAACCUGUGAAGCCUUUGCCGGAAGGCGGGGUGGAGGAGAUGGAAGUGAGUAUGCUGGCAUAAGUAGCGAUAAACUCGAUGAAAUUUCGAGUCACCGAAAGCCUAAGGUUUCCUGAGUAAAGUAAAUCUGCUCAGGGUUAGUCGGACCCUAAGCCGAGGCCGAAAGGCGUAGGCGAUGGAUAACAGGUGAAUAUUCCUGUACUACCCUGUUGUUGUCUGAGUGAUGGGGGGACGCAGAAGUGAAAGGUCAGCCCGGUUUUGAUUGUCCGGGUUUAAGUGAGUAGGGGGUUCUGGUAGGCAAAUCCGCCGGAACUUAACCCCGAGACACGAAUAGGAGGGCCUAGCCCAUAAACUGACCCUAAUCAUGCUGCCAAGAAAAUCCUCUAAACAAGAUGACAGGGUAACCGUACCUCAAACCGACACAGGUAGGCGAGAUGAGUAUUCUAAGGUGCUUGGGUGAAUUCCAGUUAAGGAACUCGGCAAAUUGACCCCGUAACUUCGGGAGAAGGGGUGCCUCGAUUAGAUGAAAUCUCCUUCGGGCAGAUGGAGUCGAAAGAGGCCGCAGUGAAAUGGCUCGGGCGACUGUUUACUAAAAACACAGGUCUCUGCUAAGUCGUAAGACGAAAUAUAGGGACUGACACCUGCCCGGUGCCGGAAGGUUAAGGGAAAGUGUUAUCCCGCUUCGGCGGGAGAAGCUCAGAACCGAAGCCCCGGUAAACGGCGGCCGUAACUAUAACGGUCCUAAGGUAGCGAAAUUCCUUGUCGGGUAAGUUCCGACCUGCACGAAUGGUGUAACGAAUUGAGCACUGUCUCGACCUGGAGCACAGCGAAAUUGAAGUGUCGGUGAAGAUACC